GGCCUCACUUUCUUUGUCUGCAGAGGUCUGCUGUCACUUAGAUAGAGAGGUGAUGUUUGCUGUGUGUCUUUUGAUUUCACCUAAAAUACCAUCUUGAUGUAAACUGAACCCGGUGGUGAUCUGAGAGGAAACGCUGAAUAAUGCAGCGCAGAUAAGCAGCCAAAGCAGCCAAAGCAGCCUGGUUAACUGGCAGGUUGACAGUGGUGUGCGAACAGGAAGCUUAACGUACCUGCAGCGUUUUGGACUUGGCAAAGGGAGAGG